CCACUUUGAUUAUUUAAUAAUUAACUUCUGAUCUUUCUGAGACAAUAUGUUCCUCUUAUUUCUUGUCAAUAUGAAACCAAGAGCAAAGUUUCAUCCUUAGACAUGAAAGGCUUAUUAAAUGACCAAAUAACAUAGUUUAGACGAAAGCUUCCUAAUAAAAUUUAUUCUCACUAUCUAAAUCUAAAACUGAAUUCAAUUCAUCUAUCUGAUUAUUAUAUAGUUUUCAUUUUUUGUUAUUUUAUUGAAUGAGUAAAAAAUUUAAUUAAAUACUUACUAUUUUUUUCAUAUAAUCUUAUAAAUUAUGUUACGUGUGGGACAUCCACCUAAUAACCUAUUAAUUUAAAUAGUAAUAUUUGAAAAAUAUUUUAUUGACAUUGUUUUAAAUAAAUUCAUAAUUCUAAAAAUAGCAAUAACUUUUUGAAAACAUCAGAUUUAUGUACACGCAUAGGACACAUACCUUUUUAUUUACUUAAAGGAAAAUGAACGAGUCUAAAGCUUCCACAUGUUAUAUGAGCAAAACAUGGAUUUUUCUAAAUUAGAUUCGUUUAAAUCAGAACAUAUUAAUGUGAGUUUCUUAAAUUAGAUUUUUAAUAUGUAUAUAUACGUAAGAAUACUUCUUAUGUUUAAAAAAAAAAAAUAGAAUACUUUAUCUCUUUCCUAAAUUUUUAAGCCAAUAUCAAUCCAUUUCUAUAAUCCAAGAUGAAGAAAUCCCUUCAACUCUCGUUUACGUUCUUAAUUAUCUCCAUCAUUCUCUCACAAGGAAUGAUGGCAGAUGCGCAGAAAAAGAAUUGUCCUCGUAAAAUUCCAAUAAAAGGAAGCUAUUGUGCUCCAACUAUAUGUUUGGAUAAGUGUAAGAAGCAACAUGGAACUGUUGGUAGUUGUGCGGAAGAAAAAGGAUUUUGUAACUGCGCUUGUAA